rnacentral:lncRNA from 1 species
AUGCCACUCACCACUUACCCACUUUUUAUUUCUCUCUCCAUAGAUUUUAUUAAUUACAAAGGUUCUCUCAUUAACGUUGAAAACAUCACUUCGCAACUGAAACGGAGCGAAAAUGCUAGACUAGAAACAGAAAAUGCACUAACCAAACUGAAAGCCGAUUUUGGUGACAGAGAGAAAGAUCUGGCAGAUUCGAAAGAAAGGGUCAGAGCUCUGCAAGAAGAAUGUAAGAAGUUUACUGAUCAGCUAGCAGCAGUCACCACGAAGUGCUUAUCCUUAUCUACGGAGAAUGAGAAGUUGACAGCUGCUGUUCUCCUAGUUCACAACAUAACAAAACCACUCAUCAUACCCCAGGAAGGAUUCCUGAGUUCAAAUGAAACAGAUCUCAACUUAAUCGCUGUCAAAGACAUCAAAAAAGAAGCAGUAGAAAGCAGUAAUUCAGCAUGAAUCCAGCUAAUCUUUGAAAGAGGUUCCUCUUUGGUAGCAAUUCAACUCUCGACGUGGUGCUGCAAUUCAGCUAUUCUUUGCAAAAGUAAUCAUGGUUUAAUUUUAUAUUUCUAGCUGUAUCAAGCACAUUGCCAUUGUCAUGAAGGAAAAAUAGGGACUAAUGCUGUUUAUGAUAACACUCGCUGUGAAGCAUUUUAGUGUUCCACUCUAAUCCAUUGUGACCAAACAACUGGUAAUGACCUUAAACUUGUGUAGGUUGUGUUAACAUGCAGUUUUCUUUUAUUUAACUCUUCCCAAGGUUAGCUAAACCCGACAUCAAUUUAAUUUUUUAAAUUUUUUUUUUUCAUUACAAUGGGUCAGUUUCAAAAUAACUACAAUCGAAAUUUGAGAGGAACCUUGAGACUUUGUCUCUACGGCACAAAGGAAAAUAUCGCAAUUUUGCUGUAUCUGUAUUUCUUAAGUACAUUUUAUUUUUCUGAACUUUUCUGAAGUUUCUAGAGAUUUUUUUACCUUCAGCAGGAAAGCCUCAGAGAUUUUUGGACUAAUUUGUGAGAUGGUUCUUCCAUGAAAAAAUAAAGUGUUUGUAAAAGUACUGAAACAGCACAGACUGGCUAUGAGCGCGUGAGACAUCAACUUAAAGAAAAUAAAAAUUAAUAUCAGAAGUGAAACAUCAAAAAUUGUUUACCACAUUUGUGUUAAGUUUAUUAAUUUAUCAGCCUCAAGGUUGUUGGUCAUAAUCUUUCUUGAAAAUUUCAAAGACUUUGUUUCCUCCAUAUCAGUUUUUUUCUUUUUUUCUUGUCAUUUCAAAAAUAUUCUUUUUGCAAAUCCCACUUGGAAAAAUGGAGGAGUCACUCCUUUGCAGUCAAUUUAAACUCUGUUAUCAUUUUUCAGCAAUGAGUUUUAUUUUAGUGUAUUUUCCGAAGAAAAUACACUAUUUUCUCUCUUCUUAUUUUGCUUUUAUCUAAUUUUCAGCAUUUUGCUAUUUGUGGGUUUUUGAAGGCAUGUAUUCAGGUUUUAUCUGCUUUUUAUUCUGAGUUAGUGUGGAAAGCUCCUAACAGUAUUUAAGAGUCCCUAAAUUCAAUUGUCAUAACAGUCUCACUUGAUUUACAACCAUCUUGACCACAUACACUGAGUGUACUUUGGAGACAGAUAGAUAUCGAGGCGAAAAAACUUCUAUUGUCCCAGCCUUGAAAAUAUCUAAAACUUCUCUUUAAAUAAAAUUUGACUAAUUUUUGCAACCAAUUCUCUCAUUUAUUUCCUAAAACAAUUUCUCUCUUUCUUUGGACUCAAUUCUGAGUUUUAUUAUCUUGUAAUUGAAGUACAAGAUUUAUUAUUUAUUUCAUAAUUUGCAUGACUCUUGCACUCACCAGUUGAUAUAUGUAUCUACGCAUUCAGUACUUUUUAAAAAAUUAUUGAGUUAUUAUCUUCAACUUAGCUUUUGUAGGUACUUUAUGACUGUCAAGGGUGUUUUAGUAGGGAUUUUGGACUCUGUUUUUUUGUACUCAACUAUUAAUAUUUAAAAUAUAAGUCUUCCUAAUUUCUUCCUGAUUGGCAUAGAUUUGGUCAUAUAUCAUAUUAAGUAUCAAAUGUUUACAAUCCCAGUGUGUGAAAAAUUCCUAACUUAUAAUCUGAGAUCUCACAAACAAAAUUAAAAUCCACAGAUAUAUUUGACCUCGACAAUAAUUUUUUAAGGGGUUAAUUCUGACUGACUUUCUGCAUUGCGUCAUUUGAUUAUAAUUUUGUUCCUGAGUUUCGAGUUUUUCACGAAACUUGUUUGAAGUUUUGAUCAGUUUAGUUGAGGGUCUCGGAGUACAAGUAGAAUAAGAGCAGUUUUUGCUAUUCCAAGAAAUGAGUGUUUAUAGUUUCAGAAUGGGUCAGUUGCGCUGGUUACAGAAUUGUGUUUUGAUGCUUGAUUGUUGUGAUGAACUAAAAAUAAUAAGAUCUGUCCAAUCUCUCUAUGUCCAUAUUAACUCAGUUAUUGCCCUUUGAAAAGUCGGGUUUUUGACGUCAUCCACCGCAGUAGGGACACCCUUGGUUUCUUCCACCUUGCUUUAAUCCGGUUUUCUCAUUGAAUAACCGGCACAAAUGUGCAUCACACGCACUGAUGAAAGCAAGGUGGAAGAAACCAAGGGUGUCACUACCGCGGUGGGUAACGUCAAAAAACCCAACUUUUCAAAGGGCAAUAUUGAACGUAGAAAGUUGCUGUUUUGACAAAUCUUACUAUUUUUAGCUAAUCUAAAAGAAUCAAUAAUCAAAACACGAUUCUGUGACUAGUGCAACUGACCCAUUCAUUACUGGAGCCUUACAGCAGAGAAACCUCUCUUUUUGAUGCUUAAAAAUUUGAUUUUAGCAGGGAAUUUUCUCCGAGUUUAUUUUAAGAUUAGUUUUAGUUGAAAUUGUUACGCAAUUUUUCAAUUUUUUCAUAAAGCGCUCUUAUUCCACUUGGCUUCCAAGCCCCUCAGUUGAACUCACAAUUUAUCUCCUUCGCAUUAAACUUGAGUAUUUUUUGGGUUUCAUCCUAGCCUUUUAUCGUCAUUUUUUUGCAUAGACGUAAACACGAAGCCCCUAUGGGCUCCUCACCAGUUUUGUUUCAUUUCAAUUCCAAGUGUUUGUAUUUUUAAUAGAGAAGCACUCGCACACCUCUGUUUCCAUGCCGUUGUUCCUUGUAAAUUUUUUUGUUGUUUUUCCCCUGUAUUCAGCAAGUAUUUUUUCUGAAUAAAAUUUAUGAUUUAUGUCUUGGUAUUUAUUCUGUUAUUUCCUCUUUCAAUAAAUUACCAAUUUCUCUCCUUCUGAUGCUGAUAAAAAGGUUUUGAUUUUUUCAGUGCCAAGGUUUGCCACAUUUUUAUGCUCAAAGUAAAAACAAGUAAGUAGUUAUCUCAAUUUGCAACACUGCAGAUUUUUUUUGUCUUAGUUAAUUUCAAUA